CUCUUCAUAGACGGAGGCAUCUUGGACGGUGAACCAUACAGAGAAGAAAUCAUCGCCUACGCAACAAAGAAACAAAUCACCCCAGAGGCCCAUCAGAUCUUC